CGGGGCUCUCAAUCCUGAUCCGCUGCGUCGGUGACUGUUGAGUGCCCCUGCUCGAGCUUGAAUAAAUGACCCUCGUGUGUUUACAUCGGAAUCAGCUCCUUGGUGGUCUUUGGGGACCUCGCGAUCUGGGCACAACAGAACUACUACAGGGCUGCUGCUGCAGAAAUGAAUAAUUGCCCUAAAGAUCAUCUGGCCUGCAAAACUGAGUAUGUUUACUAGCUGGCUCUUCACAGAAAAAGUGUGAGGACUCUGUCUGCCUUAGGACCACCACUCCAAGGAGGAUGGCAGUUAGGAUGGCCCUGCUUCGUUCGGGCCCUAUCAUGGGAACUCAGGGCAGAGCGAUGAACACGGACAGGGAGGAGUGCCUGUUCUCAGGGGCUGGCCAUCCUACUGGCGGGAGCAGGAGGAAACACCUAAGAGCACUGGAUAGCAUGUUCCUGACAAUUCAGAGUAGAGACCAGUAAAUCCAGUAAAGAACUCCACCUAGCCGAGCACAUAUUUACGUCAAUGAUGUGGGGAAGCAUGUAGAGCCUUGGUUGAGUUUAUCAUAACAGAAGCGACUGGAAUCCAUCUAAAUGUCUAUGGGAAAGAGCCAGCAAGUCAAGAAAAAUGAAGAAGAGGGGAGAUAAUCAAUAGUGUUACAUUCCUAAUAAAGCAAGAAGAGGCAUAGCUCAUCCAUACUAUCAGUAAGCAAAAAGGAUCGUAGAAUAUUGGUGUAAGAUUCCUAUAAAGUCUUGGUCACUUGAAUGAUGUCUUCCUCUGGAUUCUGUGGGAAUGCGGCUUUCUCCCUAUAUUGAUCUUGUUGUGACCAUUUAGGCUUAAGAGAAGACAUCGUAUGUCUGUCCUUUAAUGUCCUCCAAAGUGAUACACUUAAGAAUAGAACUGACUUGGAUUCCCAGGCCAAUGUUCUUUCCCUACAUUAUAUAGUUGUUGUUGAACACAGUGUUCUUUAAAAUUAUCCUCAUUAUUUAAAAUUGCUGAUUAACAAUUUUCUCUGUACUUUGUACCUUCCAUCUGCCAGUUUGGUUUGGAGCUGGUUUCUGCAUAUGAAAUUAGUCUGAAAGCCUAGAACUUCCUUGCCCAGAAGUCUGAAGCAGCUCUCUUCUCCCACUUCCUACUCAAUGUUUCUUCAUCACUCACCACUCGGUCCUACUUUCUCAUCAUACUACACCUUGUAAUUAGCUUGUUUGGUUGCUUACUUGUGCAUGAUUUGACUGACUCCCUGUGAGACUUUGAGUCCCAAGAAGAUAUGGAAUUUCCUUUUUCUGAUUCUCACACCCAGUUCUGAAUGGCAUGAAACAUUAUGCCUUGCAUAAUGUCACACCAGGCAUCUGUGAGGAUUUAACACUUGUC
ensembl:lncRNA